rnacentral:rRNA from 1 species
UCCCUACGGGGCGCAGCAGUAGGGAAUUUUCGUCAAUGGGCGCAAGCCUGAACGAGCGAUGCCGCGUGAGUGAAGAAGGCCUUCGGGUCGUAAAGCUAUGUUGCGGGGGAAAAAAGGCAGCAUCAGGAAAUGGGUGCUGACUGAUGGUGCCCCGCCAGAAAGUCACGGCUAACUACGGGCCAGCAGCCGCGGUAAUACGUAGGUGGCGAGCGUUAUCCGGAAUGAUUGGGCGUAGAGGGUGCGCAGGCGGGCCUGCAAGUCUGGAGGGGAACG